GCCCGCCCGCGCGCGCCCUCGCCGCGGCCCCUCGGCGCUCAGCUGCUUUCAAAGAAAAUGUGAUACGUGAUUAUCACAACAGUCUUAAUGUUAGAGACAAGAUGAUCCACCUCUCUUUUCCUCCAUCAGAAUUUAAGAGCGGUGCCACAAAAUUCCACAUUAUAAAUUUGUGUUCCUGUCCCUGUUUACUGCUAUUGGUGAGUCAGUUCUGCAGAAUAAUUAAAUAGUUAUCUGAUUGCGAUGUAAUGCUGUCAAAAAAUCCCAUUUUUGUGUUUUUUCAUCUCCUAUAUGAUGUCUGGAUAAGUCAUCUCUGUCCUACAAAUAAAAAAUAAGUUUUCCUUA